rnacentral:tRNA from 1 species
GGUUCCAUAAUUCAGUGGUAGAAUGCCUGCUUUACAUGUUGAUGCGCAGUAUGUCGAGGGUUUGAUCCCCUCUGGGAUCA